rnacentral:lncRNA from 1 species
CAGUAGAUAGCGGCCCUCUCUUUGAAUUCUUUGGUCAUCAACCUCAAUAUUUGGGAUGUGAGAAAUGCAAGCCCAAUCCGCACCCUUUCUAUUUCCACAUCUUUCCUUCAAUUGGGGACAGUCAUUGAUAUUCAAUUCUCGUAACGAGGUGAGGGAACGCAUCUCUUGAGGCAGACACUUUAUUGCCGGACAAAUCUCAAUGGUUAGUCUUUGAAGACAAGUGAGAUUCCGCAGUCCAUCUGGAGGUAGAGAUUCGAGCUCUUUAAUGUCCCUAAUCCGAAGGAUCUUCAAUUUAGAGAGAGGAGGAACGAUUGAGGAAGAAGAAGAGAUUGAUGGUGUGAAUAUUUGGUGCACAAGUUGUGGGCUUGCGUACCGCAAAGAUAGUGAAUGAUCGAGAGAUGGAAACUGAGGGAUGGAGGUCAAAUUAGGGCAGUCCUCACAAACGAAAUAUGAAAGACAAGGAAAUUGGAGUAGCUCAAGAGCUGUCGAAUCAUCCUCCUUCUUCUUCUGCCAUCCUUUAAGCUUAGGACAACGAUAUAGCUCGAGAGUCUUUAGGGAUGGAAAGAAUGAUGUUGGUUGUUCCUCAAUCUCCAUGUAUUCUAAAUCAUCUACUCCCCAAAUCUCUAGAUAUUGAAGAGAAGGGAUUUGAUCCAUUGGUGGGAGAUGCUGAUAUCUCUUGCAAUUCCAUAUACAGAGAUAGACAAGAUUCGUGAGGGAAGAGAACCAACUUGGGAACCUCCUGCCUCCAUAGUUAAGCACGCGUAACUCUUUAAGAUUGGGAUGUGGUUGGAGAUUUUGGAAUGCCAUUUCAUCUCUAUCAACAUUUGAAUCUUCCCAACUCUCCUCCCAACUUAAUUUCAAUGAUUGAAUGAGUGGCUUCUCUUUCAAAUUAACAUUUACAAUCUCAUUAUCCACACAUCCCAGAUUUCUAAUUGCAAGACGUCCCCUCAAAUUGCUAAGCUUAUUCAAUUCAUUUAUUUUUCCAACAUCCUUUGAGGAAAUAUGCCCUUUUGCCACUACGAACAGUGACAACGUCUGAAGUGAAGUCAACUGCCCAAGCCCACGUGGCAUAUGAGUCAAAGAGUAACAACCUUCACAAUAUAAAUGCCUAAGAUUCACAAGCUUUUUAAUAUCUUUAGGCAAUUCUUUGAGCUGGACACAAUAAGAGACAUCGAAUACUUGUAAAUUCAGCAAAUCCGUAAUAGAAUGUGAAAGUGCUUUAAGUCCCUUGUUAUCGGAAACAUCAAGAUAUCUUAUAUAUUUUAGCAUUUUUAUAGAAUUAUCCACCGUUUUAUAUGAAUGCAUUGUAAAUACACGUAAAAAUUUUAAAUUUUUAUAAAUAAAUAACUGAUCGUAAUCAUAUUUCUCAAGAAAAAGAAGCGAUCGUAGUCUUUUUGUGUUAUUAAGAAUUUCUUUUGAUGCAACAUCCAAAUUCAAUGCUAAAUGAUGGAUUUUAUCAUCAAUAUUUGAUGCAUCAGAAUUUACUAGCUGAAUUCUCUUCCCACCCACUGUGGUUGCGAGAUCGUGCAUUAAAUCAUGCAUUUUACAGCUUUCUACAUUUCCACAUCUAUCUCUUUUCACCUCUUGAAAAAAUGACCUCCACCACAGUUUCAUAAAAUAUUCAAGCCCAAUAUCUUCAAGACAAUCACUCCAACUUGGUGACUCAAUAAACCCUUGUGCAAUCCAAAGAUGGAUUAAUCUUUUCACAUCAAUCACAUAAUCUUUUGGAUAUAUUGCGCAAUAUGCAAAACAAUGCUUCAAAUGUGAUGGGAGAUGAUCAUAACUUAGCUUCAGUGUUGGCAUAAUAUCAUUACCAUCUUGACUUAUUCUUGAGAGUUCUUUUGUUAAAAAGGGCAGCCACUCAGUUUCUGGAUUUUUCGCAUACAAGAGACUUGCGAUAGUUUUUAUUGCAAGAGGAACUCCAUGACAUUUCUUCAAAAUCUCCUUUCCCAUCUCUCUUACAUUUGCAUGUUUUGGCUCCUGCCCCUCAAGUGCUACAUGCAAAAACAAAGACCAAGACUCAUCCGGAGACAACCCUUCCAAAACAUGUGGUGCUAUUGUGCCAGAUAUAUCUGCCACCAUUUUAGAGCGAGUGGUUAUUAAUAUCUUACUUCCACUAGAGCCACCCACUAAUAAUCUCUUUAAAUUCUGCCAUUUUUCUCUAUUCUCAUUCCACACAUCAUCUAGAACAAGCAGAUAUUUCUUCCCACUAAAAAUUUUUUCCAGUCUAGACUUCAAUGCUUCUAACCCAAGAUCUUCCGAUCUAUUCCCUGUUGCAGACUCUAGAAUCUUUCCAACAGUCAUUUUCACAUCAAAAGGUUCUGAAACACACACCCAUAUUCUUGGCUCAAAUGAAUUCUUAAUCAAUUCAUCAUUCAAUAUGAUUUGAGCAAGAGUGGUCUUCCCUAAUCCUCCAAUUCCAACAAUUGAGAGGACUGAAACACACUCUUCACCAUUGGAAGACAAUACAAGUUGUGUAAUUGCCUUUUUGUCACCCUCUCUCCCAAUAACCACUUCAGGUAAAGAGGACGUAGUUUGAUCCCUCCAUACAAUACUCUCCUGAUCAGUACGAACCUCUAAAUUAAAUUUUCUGUCAGCUUCAAUAUCAGCUAGCCUCUCCCUAAUCGCCUUAACUUUAUGACCCAUUUUAAAACCAUAAACAAGUUUAUUUGAAGACGAAAAGAAGAGACUUACCUCCUUUGUCAUUCUAUUUCCAGUCAUCACUCGGCGCCUUAGGGCUUCUGUGGCGAAGUCAUCUACCAAGUCAUCAGCAUCAUAAACCACUUCUUCUAGCCUCUCAAGCCAGCCUUUCACUUGACGGUUAAGUUUCUGCUGCUCCUCAGCAUCCAGAAGAACGUUGCGAAUACUAGAAACUGUGGCCUCAAGUUUCUUAAGCUCACCUUUGACGCCCCACCACAAUCCGAUCUCAUGAAGGGCUCGAGAACCCAGCUUGGUAAUGAUAUCUAUGACAACGUUAGAGAGAACUCCGUCGGCCAUUUUGGGUGUUUUGGUUUGAUUGUAAAAGGAUGAAAUGUUGCUGUGAAGAAGAAGAUGGUGACAACAAAUGACUAAUUUAAAGAAAAAAAAAAGUGAAGGAAAAAGCAUUCUUCUAAAUAAUUAUCUUCAGUCGGUCAGCUUUGGUGGGCGGUGGUUUGCUUUAAUUUAAAAAGUAAAAUAUAUUAAUAAAUUUAUAUAUAGAAUGAAAGUAAGUUAUGUUUUUUUUAAAAUAAUUUUAUUUUUUUAUUUAAAAAAUAUUUUUUAUUAAAUAAAUUUUGAGUGAUUCAAAUCGUUAAAAAAUAUAAAAUAUAUUUUUAAUGUUAAUGAAUUUUGGUUAUUGAAAUGAAAGUAUUUUUAUAUAUUUGUAUGAUGAUAUAAAAUUAUAUCAGGUGUAACAUGUAUAAUAGAUUUAUUAUGAGUUUUAAAGAUUUUAAAUGGAUCUGAAUUUCAAUACUGUAGCGAUUUGAUUUUUGAAUCGUUAUAGAAAUAACCGGUUGAUUUUAUGAAUUCUAGUACUGUAGCGAUUCGAUUUUUAAAUCGUCAUAGGAACAAUAAUCAUUAUAGGAACAAUAGGUUGAUUUUAUUUUUUGGGUAACAGAAUCUCAAGAGUAUCCUAUUGCAUAUUAUAGAUCCAUCGAUGUUAGAGAUGUUGUGUAUGCACACAUUCAAGAUUUGGAGAUUCCUUCUCUUCUGAGGUUCUAAAGAUUGUGUCAGCAACAUUAUCCUACAUUGCACCUUUCAAAAAAGUAUGAUUUUUUUUAUAUUUUUGCAUGCUCAUUUUGAACCAGCUAUAUAAAUGCUAAGAUCUAUAAUUAUUCGGAUAAUUGAGAAAUAGUUGUUUUGAAUGAUUAAUUUGAUCAUGGAAUAUAAUCUGAGUUGCAGAUGUGGCUCUAGAUUGAAUUACUUAACAAAGUAUGAGGUAUCAAAGGAAAAAGCGAAAACUUUGGGCAUUGACUUCAUUCCUUUGGAGGUUAGUUUGAAGGACACUAUUGAAAGCUUGAAGCAGAAGGGCUUCCUCAGCAUUUGAUUUUGGCUGUUGGAUAAAAAGCAAUGCAAAUAUUACAUUGGCCUUAGCUUCCUAUUGGUGCAAGAUCUUAUUGCCCUUCAAGAUUGUCUUUAUUUGAAAAAAGUGGACCAAUACAAUUUAUAAAAUAUAUAACAAUUUGUAUAUAACUGUGUAUAAACAUAUUACAUGUGUCACUUGUUUUAGUGAUAGAUGAAGUUCGUUUCAGGUCUGAUUUAUGAGGAAAUUACUUUUUUUUUUUUUUUUAUCUGAUUUCAGGUCACAUUCCAAAGAAUAAGACACAAGAAAAAGAAAAUGUAUAAUCCACCAAUUCUGAUUUAGUUCGGUCUUUUCAAAGUAUAUUCAGAUUUCAUAGCCAAUUCAUUUAAUGCCGUAUCUGAUUUCUGGUUCUUGUGAUAUGCUCUUACAAAAUUCAUCUAAAAUUCAGUGCUCUUACACAUUCUGGAAACACAAUUUAUACAAAAACUGAUUUCUCAGGAAAAAAAAGGAAAAUAAUGUUAUUUGCAUUGAAUGAACAAAUGAUUAGCAUAGUAGCAAAACUACUUAAAAUAAGAGAAAUUAGAAACCAAAAAGCAGCACAGCAUGAGUCUGGGCAUUGCAUGUUGGAUGAUCGAAACAGAGGUCUUGAGUGCGAAUCUAGAUCCUGAAAUACGCAGGCCUGCAAAAAGUCAUUCGAAGAAGUGUGCAAAACUCCCAUCAUUCAGCUUUCUUUCUGCUUCCCGCUCAGCAGGAUUACUAUGUACUGAGACAGAUAGGAAACUUAUCCCGGUGAGUUUUUAUUCCGGGAUGUCAAGGGCACAAUGCGCAGCUUAGUGAAUCUCCAUCAUCUUUGCCACAGGUGUAAGUUAUGAAGAUAGUUGCUAGAUGGAGGAUUUUCACACUAGUGAUUAAGCAUCUGUUUCAAGCCAGAAUCAUCAUUAAAUCACAGAUUUGCUUUACAAGCAAUAACUAGAGGGAUUUCAUAUUACAAGUAGAGUCUUUAUAACCUACUGAAUCGCUUAUUUGCGAAGACAGAAGAAAAGGAGAGCUCACGUUUUGUUUUUACUGCACAAAUACUGCAUAUGGAAUCUGAGUGAGAAGUUACUCCCUAAAAAUUUCAAAAGUGUUUUUGAGAGGUACCUUUGCGCGAAUCUUCUGGCAACAGACCCAAAGAAGUCAUCCAAUAAGUAGAAAUUCUUCUAUGGAAGGCCACACACAUUAAUAGCAGUUCUUUCAAGGCGAAUUAUGCCAAGCCAAUCAAGGAAUUGCUGCCAUGGCAUGUAGUUGUGGUUUCUUAAUGUGUUCGAGUAACUUCUGCACAAGGAAUCAAAUUAAUCUUUAAAUCCGUGAAAUUAAAAGGGAUGCAGAAUUACAAAACUAAUAAUAAGAACAAUAAUAAUAAGAUGGAUAGAAGCAUGACCUGCCAAUGCAUGAUUUCGGCAAGCCUUUGCUUUGGUUCACCACUUCCCAAUGUAGUAAGAAUUUCAACAGCAUCCCAGAAUUUCAAUAGCAUCCCAAUGAUAACUCAUACUUGAUGAGCCUUGAUGGAGAAAUGAAAGUCCAGUUAAAAUUAUUCAAAAUGCAUAUCCACUCGCCAAGAACAUAUGCACCCAGAAAUCUCCUUAAAUAAAUAAGGUUUUAACAAGGUGAAUGCUUUGCUUUUUCUUUUUUUGGGAAGAACUUCAAAGUAAACAAAGGUAAGACUGUUGGGUUUUGAUGUUUACCUUGUGUGGGAGAAAUAUGAUGUUUACCCAGAAAUCACAUUUUUGUUUUCAGAAUAAAUGGUUUUUUCCACCUCUGCAUUUGACAUUGAAAAAACUUGAAUAAAUACCAAAUAAUUAAGAAAUGCUGCUGAUUUAAUUUACAAAGGAAUGGUGCAUGUGAAGAGAAAUUGACAUAUGACAAUCACAUUCAGCACAAUCAAUUCUCAUCCUAAUUUAGAAGACUAAUCAAACUAACUGCAGCAAUAACAUCUUUUCCACGAAGUCUACUAACUUCUGCACAUAGAGUCAAAAUUAAUCCGUUAUAUCCAUGAAAAGAAUGAAGGCAGAAUUACAUUAAAAAAUGAAUAAAAAUGAUGGUUAAAAGAAUGACCUGCCAAUGCAUUUAAAAUCUCUUUGAAUUUGUUUCCCACAUCCCAAUUUAUUAGAAUUUCAGGUGAGUAAAAAAAGAAAAAAAUGAUUCCUCUAGCUUGAUGAGCCUGUAUAUGUGGGAAAAAAGUGUUAAAAUAUUAUCAUAAAGCAAACAAAUUCUCAAUUACACAAAAAAUAAAAGAAAGAAAAGGUACGCUGUAUAUUGAUCUUGAUUGUAAAGAAAUAAUGACAAAAGGAUACUUACAACUCAAAGGUAAUACACUGCUCAUUUUGGAAGAAACACAUCCAACACUUCAAAACUUAUCCUUCAUUGAUCUGUGUAAAUAGAAUCAUAGAGUGAAGAUUUUCUCAUGUAAGUUUAGUUUGCAAAUUGGAGAGAAAAAGGACCAACUUACCGAAGCUUCAUCAUCCAGUAGAUAGCGGCCCUCUCUUUGAAUUCUUUGGUUAUCAACUUCAAUAUUUGGGAUGUGAGAAAUGAAAGCCCAAUCCGCACCCUUUCUAUUUCCACAUCUUUCCUUCAAUUGGGGACAGUCAUCGAUAUCCAAUUCUCGUAACGAGGUGAGGGAACGCAUCUCUUGAGGCAGACACUUUAUUGCCGGACAAAUCUCAAUGGUUAGUCUUUGAAGACAAGUGAGAUUCCGCAGUCCAUCUGGAGGUAGAGAUUCGAGCUCUUUAAUGUCCCUAAUCCAAAGGUUCUUCAAUUUAGAGAGAGGAGGAAUGAUUGAGGAAGAAGAAGAGAUUGAUGGUGUGAAUAUUUGGUGCACAAGUUGUGGGCUUGCGUGCAGCAAAUGUAGUGAAUCAUCGAGAGAUGGAAACUGAGGGAUGGACUUCAAAUUAGGGCAGUCCUCACAAACGAAAUAUGAAAGACAAGGAAAUUGGAGUAGCUCAAGAGCUGUCGAAUCAUCCUCCUUCUUCUUCUGCCAUCCUUUAAGCUUAGGACAACCAUAUAGCACGAGAGUCUUUAGGGAUGGAAAGAAUGAUGUUGGUUGUCCCUCAAUCUCCAUGUAUUCUAAAUCAUCUACUCCCCAAAUCUCUAGAUAUUGAAGAGAAGGGAUUUGAUCCAUUGGUGGGAGAUGCUGAUAUCUCUUGCAAUUCCAUAUACAGAGAUAGACAAGAUUCGUGAGGGAAGAGAACCAACUUGGGAACCUCCUGCCUCCAUAGCCAAACACAAGUAACUCUUUAAGAUUGGGAUGUGGUUGGAGAUUUUGGAAUGCCAUUUCAUCUCUAUCAACAUUUGAAUCUUCCCAACUCUCCUCCCAACGUAGUUUCAAUGAUUGAAGGAGUGGCUUCUCUUUCAAAUUAACAUUUACAAUCUCAUCAUCCACACAUCCCAGAUUUCUAAUUUCAAGACGUCCCCUCAAAUUGUUAAGCUUAUUCAAUUCAUUUAUUUUUCCAACAUCCUUUGAGGAAAUAUGCCCUUUUCCCACUACGAACAGUGACAACGUCUGAAGUGAAGUCAACUGCCCAAGCCCACGUGGCAUAUGAGUCAAAGAGUUACAACCUUCACAAUAUAAAUGCCUAAGAUUCACAAGCUUUUUAAUAUCUUUAGGCAAUUCUUUGAGCUCGUCACAAUAAGAGACAUCUAAUACUUGUAAAUUCAGCAAAUCCGUAAUAGAAUUUGAAAGUGCUUUAAGUUUCUCGUUAUCGGAAACGUCAAGAUAUCUUAGAUAUUUUAGCAUUUUUAUAGAAUUAUCCAUUAUUCUAUAUGAAUGCAUAGUAAAUACACGCAAAAAUUUUAAAUUUUUAUAAAUAAAUAGCUGAUCGACAUUAUGUUCCUCAGACAAAAGAAUCGAUCGUACUCUUUUUGCAUUGUUAAGAAUUUCUUGUGGUGCAACAACUAAAUUCAAUGCUACAUGAUGGGUUUUCUCAUCAAUAUUUGGUGCAUCAGAAUUUACUAGCUGAAUCCUCUUUCCACCCACUGUGGUUGCGAGAUCGUGCAUUAAAUCAUGCAUUUUACAGCUUUCUACAUUUCCACAUCUAUCUCUUUCCACCUCUUGAAAAAAUGACCUCCACCACAGUUUCAUAAAAUAUUCAAGCCCAAUAUCUUCAAGACAAUCACUCGUACUUGGUGAUUCAAUAAACCCUUGUGCAAUCCAAAGAUGGAUUAAUGUUUUCACAUCAAUCACAUAAUCUUUUGGAUAUAUUGCGCAAUAUGCAAAACAAUGCUUCAAAUGUGAUGGGAGAUGAUCAUAACUUAGCUUCAGUGUUGGCAUAAUAUCAUUACCAUCUUGACUUAUUCUUGAGAGUUCUUUUGUUAAAAAGGGCAACCACUCAGUUUCUGGAUUUUUCGCAUACAAGAGACUUGCUAUAGUUUUUAUUGCAAGUGGAACUCCAUGACAUUUCUUCAAAAUCUCCUUUCCCAUCUCUCUUACAUUUGCAUGUUUUGGCUCCUGCCCCUUAAGUGCUACAUGCAAAAACAAAGACCAAGACUCAUCCAGAGACAACCCUUCCAAAACAUGUGGUGCUGUUGUGCCAGAUAUAUCUGCCACCUUUUUAGAGCGAGUGGUUAUUAAUAUCUUACUUCCACUAGAGCCACCCACUAAUAAUCUCUUUAAAUUCUGCCAUUUUUCUCUAUUCUCAUUCCACACAUCAUCUAGAACAAGCAGAUAUUUCUUCCCACUAAUAAUUUUUUCCAGUCUAGACUUCAAUGCUUCUAACCCAAGAUCUUCCGAUUUAUUCCCUGUUGCAGACUCUAGAAUCUUUCCAACAGUCAUUUUCACAUCAAAAGGUUCUGAAACACACACCCAUAUUCUUGGCUCAAAUGAAUUCUUAAUCAUUUCAUCAUUCAAUAUGAUUUGAGCAAGAGUGGUCUUCCCUAAUCCUCCAAUUCCAACAAUUGAGAGGACUGAAACACACUCUUCACCAUUGGAAGACAAUACAAGUUGUGUAAUUGCCUUUUUGUCACCCUCUCUCCCAAUAACCACUUCAGGUAAAGAGGACGUAGUUUGAUCCCUCCAUACAAUACUCUCCUGAUCAGUACGAACCUCUAAAUUAAAUUUUCUGUCAGCUUCAAUAUCAGCUAGCCUCUCCCUAAUCGCCUUAACUUUAUGACCCAUUUUAAAACCAUAAACAAGUUUAUUUGAAGACGAAAAGAAGAGACUUACCUCCUUUGUCAUUCUAUUUCCAGUCAUCACUCGGCGCCUUAGGGCUUCUGUGGCGAAGUCAUCUACCAAAUCAUCAGCAUCAUAAACCACUUCUUCUAGCCUCUCAAGCCAGCAUUUCACUUGACGGUUAAGUUUCUGCUGCUCCUCAGCAUCCAGAAGAACGUUGCGAAUACUAGAAACUGUGGCCUCAAGUUUCUUAAGCUCACCUUUGACGCCCCACCACAAUCCGAUCUCAUGAAGGGCUCGAGAACCCAGCUUGGUAAUGAUAUCUCCGACAACGUUAGAGAGAACUCCGUCGGNNNNNNNNNNNNNNNNNNNNNNNNNNNNNNNNNNNNNNNNNNNNNNNNNUUUAAAUAAAAAAAAAAAAAAAGAAGUGGAGGAAAAAGCGGUCCGUUAACUUUGGACGGCGCUGGUUUGCUUUAAUUUAAAAAGUAAAAUAUAUUAAUAAAUUUAUAUAUAGAAUGAAAGUUAGUUAUUUUUUAUAAAAUAAUUUUAUUUUUUAUUAAAUAAAUUUUAUGAGUGAUUUAAAUCGUUAAAAAAUAUAAAAUAUAUUUUUGAUGUUACUAAAAUUUUGUUAUUGAAAUGAAAGUAUUUUUAUAUAUUUUGUGAUGAUGUAUAAAGUUACAUUAGGUAUAAUAUGAUGUAUAGUAAAUUUAUUAUGAGUUUUAAUGACUUUAAAUCGAUUUAAAUUUUAAUAUUGAUAGCGGUUCAAUUUCUGAAUUAUUAUCGAAAUGUAUAGCAGGAGCUCAAGAGUAUCCUGUUGCAUAUUAUAGAUCCAUCGAUAUAAAAAAUAUGGCAUAUGCACACAUUCAGGAUUUAGAGAUUCCUUCAGCUAGUGGCAGAUAUUGUUUAAUUAAAAGAGAUGUCCACUUCUCUGAGGUUUUGAAGAUUGUGUCAGCAACAUUAUCCUACAUUGCACCUUCCAAAAAACUAUGGUUUUUUUUAUAUUUUUGCAUGCUCAUGUUGGACCAGCUAUAUGAAUGGCUAAGAUAUAUAAUUAUUUGGAUAACUGAGAAAUAGUUAUUUUGAAUGAUUAAUUUGAUCAUGGAAUAUAAUCUGAGUUGCAGAUGUGGCUCUGAAUUGAAUUACUUAACAAAGUAUGAGGUAUCAAAGAAAAAAGCGAAAACUUUGGAUAUUGAUUUCAUUCCUUUGGAGGUUAGUUGAAGGACACUAUUGAAAGCUUGAAGGAGAAGAGCCUCCUCAGCAUUUGAUUUUGGCUGUCGGAUAAAAAGCAAUGCAAAUAUUACAUUGGCCUUUCAGGUUCAUUGGCUUUAGCUUUCUAUUGGUGUAAGGUAUUAUUGCCCUUCAGAAUUGUCUUUAUUUAAAAAAAGUGAACCCAUACAAUUUGUAAAAUAUAUUAAAAUUUGUAUACAGCUGUAUAUAAACAUAUUACAUGUGUCGCUUGUUUCUGGUAGAUAAAGUUCAUUUCAGGUCUGAUUUCUGAGGAAGUUGCUCUUUUUUUUUAUCUGAUUUCAAGUCUCAUUCCAAAGAAGAAGACACAAGAAAAAGAAAAUGUGUAAUCCACCAAUUCAGAUUUAGUUCAGUCUUUUCAAAGUAUAUUCAGAUUUCAUAGCCAAUUCAUUUAAUGCUGUAUCUGAUUUCUGGUUCUUGUGAUACGCUCUUACAAAAUUCAUUUAAAAUUCAGUACUCUUACACAUUUUGGAAACACAAUUUAUACAAAAACUGAUUUCUCAGGAAAAAAAAGGAAAAUAAUGUUAUUUGCAUUGAAUGAACAAAUGAUUAGCAUAGUAGCAAAACUACUUAAAAUAAGAGAAAUUAGAAACCAAAAAGCAGCACAGCAUGAGUCUGGGCAUUGCAUGUUGGAUGAUCGAAACAGAGGUCUUGAGUGCGAAUCUAGAUCCUGAAAUACGCAGGCCUGCAAAAAGUCAUUCGAAGAAGUGUGCAAAACUCCCAUCAUUCAGCUUUCUUUCUGCUUCCCGCUCAGCAGGAUUACUAUGUACUGAGACAGAUAGGAAACUUAUCCCGGUGAGUUUUUAUUCCGGGAUGUCAAGGGCACAAUGCGCAGCUUAGUGAAUCUCCAUCAUCUUUGCCACAGGUGUAAGUUAUGAAGAUAGUUGCUAGAUGGAGGAUUUUCACACUAGUGAUUAAGCAUCUGUUUCAAGCCAGAAUCAUCAUUAAAUCACAGAUUUGCUUUACAAGCAAUAACUAGAGGGAUUUCAUAUUACAAGUAGAGUCUUUAUAACCUACUGAAUCGCUUAUUUACGAAGACAGAAGAAUAGGAGAGCUCACGUUUUGUUUUUACUGCACAAAUACUGCAUAUGGAAUCUGAGUGAGAAGUUACUCCCUAAAAAUUUCAAAAGUGUUUUUGAGAGGUACCUUUGAGCGAAUCUUCUGGCAACAGACUCAAAGAAGUCAUCCAAUAAGUAGAAAUUCUUCUAUGGAAGGCCACACACAUUAAUAGCAGUUCUUUCAAGGCGAAUUAUGCCAAGCCAAUCAAGGAAUUGCUGCCAUGGCAUGUAGUUGUGGUUUCUUAAUGUGUUCGAGUAACUUCUGCACAAGGAAUCAAAUUAAUCUUUAAAUCCGUGAAAUUAAAAGGGAUGCAGAAUUACAAAACUAAUAAUAAGAACAAUAAUAAUAAGAUGGAUAGAAGCAUGACCUGCCAAUGCAUGAUUUCGGCAAGCCUUUGCUUUGGUUCACCACUUCCCAAUGUAGUAAGAAUUUCAACAGCAUCCCAGAAUUUCAAUAGCAUCCCAAUGAUAACUCAUACUUGAUGAGCCUUGAUGGAGAAAUGAAAGUCCAGUUAAAAUUAUUCAAAAUGCAUAUCCACUCGCCAAGAACAUAUGCACCCAGAAAUCUCCUUAAAUAAAUAAGGUUUUAACAAGGUGAAUGCUUUGCUUUUUCUUUUUUUGGGAAGAACUUCAAAGUAAACAAAGGUAAGACUAUUGGGUUUUGAUGUUUACCUUGUGUGGGAGAAAUGUGAUGUUUACCCAGAAAUCACAUUUUGUUUUCAGAAUAAAUGGUUUUUUCCACCUCUGCAUUUGACAUUGAAAAAACUUGAAUAAAUACCAAAUAAUUAAGAUAUGCUGCUGAUUUAAUUUACAAAGGAAUGGCGCAUGUGAAGAGAAAUUGACAUAUGACAAUCACCUUCAGCACAAUCAAUUCUCAUCCUAAUUUAGAAGACUAAUCAAACUAAUUGCAGCAAUAACAUCUUUUCCACGAAGUCUACUAACUUCUGCACAUAGAGUCAAAAUUAAUCCGUUAUAUCCAUGAAAAGAAUGAAGGCAGAAUUACAUUAAAAAAUGAAUAAAAAUGACGGUUAAAAGAAAGACCUGCCAAUGCAUUUAAAAUCUCUUUGAAUUUGUUUCCCACAUCCCAAUUUAUUAGAAUUUCAGGUGAGUAAAAAACAAAUAAAUGAUUCCUCUAGCUUGAUGAGCCUGUACAUGUGGGAAAAAAGUGUUAAAAUAUUAUCAUAAAGCAAAUAAAUUCUCAAUUAUACAAAAAAUAAAAGAAAGAAAAGGUACUCUGUAUAUUGAUCUUGAUUGUAAAGAAAUAAUGACAAAAGGUACUCUGUAUAUUGAUCUUGAUUGUAAAGAAAUAAUGACAAAAGGAUACUUACGAACUCAAAGGUAAUACACUGCUCAUUUUGGAAGAAACACAUCCAACACUUCAAAACUUAUCCUUCAUUGAUCUGUGUAAAUAGAAUCAUAGAGUGAAGAUUUUCUCAUGUAAGUUUAAUUUGCAAAUUGGAGAGAAAAAGGACCAACUUACCGAAGCUUCAUCAUCCAGUAGAUAGCGGCCCUCUCUUUGAAUUCUUUGGUCAUCAACUUCAAUAUUUGGGAUGUGAGAAAUGAAAGCCCAAUCCGCACCCUUUCUAUUUCCACAUCUUUCCUUCAAUUGGGGACGGUCAUUGAUAUUCAAUUCUCGUAACGAGGUGAGGGAACGCAUCUCUUGAGGCAGACACUUUAUUGCCGGACAAAUCUGAAUGGUUAGUCUUUGAAGACAAGUGAGAUUCCACAGUCCAUCUGGAGGUAGAGAUUCCAGCUCUUCAAUGUCCGUAAUCUGAAGGAUCUUCAAUUUAGAGAGAGGAGGAAUGAUUGAGGAAGAAGAAGAGAUUGAUGGUGUGAAUAUUUGGUGCACAAGUUGUGGGCUUGCGCAGUGCAAAUAUAGUGAAUGAUCGAGAGAUGGAAACUGAGGGAUGGAGUUCAAAUUAGGGCAGUCCCUACAAACGAAAUACGAAAGACAAGGAAAUUGGAGUAGCUCAAGAGCUGUCGAAUCAUCCUUCUUCUUCUGCAAUCCUUUAAGCUUAGGACAACCAUAUAGCACGAGAACCCUUAGGGAUGGAAAGAAUGAUGUUGCUUGUCCCUCAAUCUCAAUGUACUCUAAAUCAUCUACUUCACGAAUAUGUAGAUAUUGAAGAGAAGGGAUUUGAUCCAUUGGUGGGAGAUGCUGAUAUCUAUUGCAAUUCCGUAUACAGAGAUAGACAAGAUUCGUGAGGGAAGAGAACCAACUUGGGAACCUCCUGCCUCCAUUGCCAAGCACACGUAACUCUUUAAGAUUGGGAUGCGGUUGGAGAUUUUGGAAUGCCAUUUCAUCUCUAUCAACAUUUGAAUCUUCCCAACUCUCCUCGCAACGUAAUUCCAAUGAUUGAAGGACUGGUUUCUCUUUCAUAUUAACAUUUACAAUCUCAUUAUCCACACAACCCAGAUUUAUAAUUUCAAGACGUCCCCUCAAAUUCUUAAGCUUAUUCAGUUCAUUUAUUUUUUCAACAUCCUUUGAGGAAAUAUGCCCUUUUGCCACUACGAACAGCGACAACGUCUGAAGUGAAGUCAACUGCCCAAGCCCACGUGGCAUAUGAGUCAAAGAGUAACAACCUUCACAAUAUAAAUGCCUAAGAUUUACAAGCUUUUUAAUAUCUUUAGGCAAUUCUUUGAGCUGGACACAGUAAGAGACAUCUAAUACUUGUAAAUUCAGCAAAUCGGUAAUAGAAUGUGAAAGUGCUUUAAGUCCCUUGUUAUCGGAACGUCAAGAUAUCUUAUAUAUUUUAGCAUUUUUAAAGAAUUAUCCAUCGUUGUAUAUGAAUGCAUCAUAAAUACACGUAAAAAUUUUAAAUUUUUAUAAAUAAAUAGUUGAUCGCAAUCAUAUUUCUCAAGCAAAAGAAGCGAUCGUACUCUUUUUGCGUUAUUAAGAAUUUCUUUUGAUGCAACAUCCAAAUUCAAUGCUACAUGAUGGAUUUUCUCAUUAAUAUUUAGUAUAUCAGAAUUUACUAGCUGAAUCCUCUUCCCACCCACUGUGGUUGCGAGAUCGUGCAUUAAAUCAUGCAUUUUACAGCUCUCUACAUUUCCAUAUCUAUCUCUUUCCACUUCUUGAAAAAAUGACCUCCACCACAGUUUCAUAAAAUAUUCAAGCCUAAUAUCUUCAAGAUAAUCACUCGUACUUGGUGACUCAAUAAACCCUUGUGCAAUCCAAAGAUGGAUUAAUCUUUUCACAUCAAUCACAUAAUCUUUUGGAUAUAUUGCGCAAUAUGCAAAACAAUGCUUCAAAUGUGAUGGGAGAUGAUCAUAACUUAGCUUCAGUGUUGGCAUAAUAUCAUUACCAUCUUGACUUAUUCUUGAGAGUUCUUUUGUUAAAAAGGGCAGCCACUCAGUUUCUGGAUUUUUCGCAUACAAGAGACUUGCGAUGGUUUUUAUUGCAAGAGGAACUCUAUGACAUUUCUUCAAAAUCUCCUUUCCCAUCUCUCUUACAUUUGCAUGUUUUGGCUCCUGCCCCUCAAGUGCUACAUGCAAAAACAAAGACCAAGACUCAUCCGGAGACAACCCUUCCAAAACAUGUGGUGCCAUUGUGCUAGAUAUAUCUGCCACCUUUUUAGAGCGAGUGGUUAUUAAUAUCUUACUUCCACUAGAGCCACCCACUAAUAAUCUCUUUAAAUUCUCCCAUUUUUCUCUAUUCUCAUUCCACACAUCAUCUAGAACAAGCAGAUAUUUCUUCCCACUAAUAAUUUUUUCCAGUCUAGACUUCAAUGCUUCUAACCCAAGAUCUUCCGGUCUAUUCCCUGUUGCAGACUCUAGAAUCUUUCCAACAGUCAUUUUCACAUCAAAAGGUUCUGAAACACACACCCAUAUUCUUGGCUCAAAUGAAUUCUUAAUCAAUUCAUCAUUGAAUAUGAUUUGAGCAAGAGUGGUCUUCCCUAAUCCUCCAAUUCCAACAAUUGAGAGGACUGAAACACACUCUUCACCAUUGGAAGACAAUACAAGUUCUGUAAUUGCCUUUUUGUCACCCUCUCUCCCAAUAACCACUUCAGGUAAAGAGGACGUAGUUUGAUCCCUCCAUACAAUACUCUCCUGAUCCGUACGAAACUCUAAAUUAAAUUUUCUGUCAGCUUCAAUAUCAGCUAGCCUCUCCCUAAUCUCCUUAACUUUAUGACCCAUUUUAAAACCAUAAACAAGUUGAUUUGAAGACGAAAAGAAGAGACUUACCUCCUUUGUCAUUCUAUUUCCAGUCAUCACUCGGCGCCUUAGAGCUUCUGUGGCGAAGUCAUCUACCAAGUCAUCAGCAUCAUAAACAACUUCUUCUAGCCUCUCAAGCCAGCCUUUCACUUGACGGUUAAGUUUCUGCUGCUCCUCAGCAUCCAGAAGAACGUUGCGAAUACUAGAAACUGUGGCCUCAAGUUUCUUAAGCUCACCUUUGACGCCCCACCACAAUCCGAUCUCAUGAAGGGCUCGAGAACCCAGCUUGGUAAUGAUAUCUCCGACAACGUUAGAGAGAACUCCGUCGGCCAUUUUGGGCGUUUUGGUUUGAUUGUAAAAGGAUGAAAUGUUGCUGUGAAGAAGAAGACGGUGACAACAAAUGACUGAUUUAAAGAAAAAAAAAGAAGUGGAGGAAAAAGCAUUCUUCUAAAUGAUUAUCUUCGGUCGGUCAACUUUGAACGGCGCUGGUUUGCUUUUUAAAUAAUAUAUUAAUACAUUUAUAUAUAUACAGAUGGAAAGAAAGUUAUUUUUUAAAAAAUAAUUUUAUUUUUUAUUAGAAAUGCAUUUUUUUUAAUUAAAUUUGAUGAGUGAUUCAAAUAUUAAAAAAUAUAAAAUAUAUAUAUACAGAUGGAAAGAAAGUUAUUUUUUAAAAAAUAAUUUAAUUUUUAAUAGAAAUGUAUUUUUUUUAAUUAAAUUUGAUGAGUGAUUCAAUUAUUAAAAAAUAUAAAAUAUAUUUUCGAUAUUGCUGAGAUUAAAUUGAUGUUGUAGUCGGAAUGAAACUGUACUAUAAUUGGUUAGAAUUUAUAAGAGAGGAAAUAUGAGAUAGUGGUGGGUACCUAUAGCAGCAAGGCAGUGAUGAGUACCUAUGACAGCUACUGUGACGCUAAAGUCAGUAUUUUGAAAAAUAGAAAAAAUUUAAUGAAUAACUUAGAGUUUGAGUAGUAUCAUAGAUAAUGUACCUUUAUCUUCGUAAUCGUUCUCCUUUUAUACUAUGAGAAAAUGUAUAUAAAUAUAUCAUGAAACAACAGGGCCUAAACUGGUCCAAAUAACUUUUGGACUCACUUUUCACUUGACCCAAAAUGGUUAAUUCAGGUUAUUUAGUAGUUUCGUGCUAGCUAUUAUAUACAAUUCCAAAAUCUCCCGAUGUGGGACAGCUUUCGCAGCGGAAGCGAACAGCUGACCAUUACACUCGAUCCCGCUAAAUUUGCGACGUCCUCGUCGCAGUUGAAUUGGAUACAAUUGCUAAUUAGGACCGAACCCUUAGGUAUUGUGGUUCGCUAGUACGUCGGGCGGCUCCACCUCGUCUCACACGGGUAGCUCUUUCCUUACAGGCUCACUAGCUCUACAUAAUUUGUUUGAUCUAGAGUGGCUCUAAUACCAAUUGAAACAGUCAGGUCCAAACUUGCUCAAAUAACUUUUGGACCCACUUUCUACUUUGCCCAAAAUAGUUAAUCUAAGUUAUUUAGUAGUUUUGUGCUACCUAUUAUAUACAAUUCCGAUUUUCUAUAAUCUCCCGGUGUGGGACGGCUUCCGCAGUGGAAGCAGGUAGCUGACCGUUGCACUUGGUCCCGCUAAAUUUGCGACGUCCUCGUCGCAACUGAAUCGGAUACAAUUGCUAACCAGGAUCGAACCCUUAGGUAUUGUAGUUCGCUAGUACCUCGAGCGGCUCCACCUCGUCUCACACGGGUAGCCCUUUCCUCGUAGGCCCACUAGCACAAUUUGUAUCUAGGGUGGCUCUAAUACCAAUUGAAACAGUCGGGUCCAAACUGGCCCAAAUAACUUUUGGACCCACUUUCCACUUGUCCCAAAAUGGUUAACUCAAGUUAUUUAAUAGUUUCGUGCUAACUAUUAUAUACAAUUUCGAUUUUCUAUAAUCUCCCAAUGUGGGACAGCUUCCGCAGCGGAAACAGGUAGCUGAUCGUUAUAAUCGGUCUCGCUAAAUUUGCGAUGUCCUCGUCGCAACUGAAUUUGAUACAAUUGCUAACCAAGACCGAACCUUUAGGUACUGUGGUUCGCUAGUACCUCUGGCGGCUCCACCUCAUCUAACACGGGUAGCUCUUUCCUCGCAGGCCCACUAGCUCUGCACAAUUUGUCUAACUCAGGGUGGCUCUGAUACCAAUUAAAAUAGUCGGGCCUAACCUGCCCCCAAAGGUUUGACUUUUGAAUCUGUGAGCGGACUUUAGGCCGUCGAACCUGCUGCCGAAAGUGCCCUGUCCAGCCUUUUUCAGCUUGCUUCCUACGUGUGUUCUUCUAUGUUCUUAGGGGGUAGUUUUAAGUGUUGUAAAAGUUAUAUUUGGUUCCUCAUUUAAGUCCAUCUGUGUAGGAUCGGACUUGGAAGAUCGUAGAAACUUGCAGUAAGAUAACUGUAUCAAAAUUAGGCGUGCGUCAGCCAGAGGUGAGUAGAACUAAACUCAAUUAUUAUUUUAAAAAAACCAAAUGUUUUAAGCAUACUUAUGCAUCACAAAUGCUAUGUAUAUAUAUGAUUAUGGUGCUUUGCAUUAGAAUUCACGAAUAUAAUGCAUUGCAUAAUUUAUUAUUGUUGUUGAUGUAUGUUAGAUGACCUUCUAGCCCUCAAGUAUGUUAUGGUAUGUUAUGACGGAUAUGGAAAGAGCAGGACUUGCUCAUUCUACGCCCUUGGCACUGUGUAAGGGAAAGACCAGGGUUACACAUUUUAUAUCCGUGGCACUAUGGAUAUGUUAUUUUAUGUUUAAGAGGAAAUUCUGAAAAGCGCUUGUCGUGGGCUGGGCACUAUUGGAAUCUAUAGAGAGUCACUGGUGACAAGUCUAUCUUGAUAUGAAUUGUUUGUGUUGUGACACAUUUAUACGAUCAUAUGUCUUAUUAAACUGCUUUUGUUAUGUUUCUGCUCACUAGCCUCUUAUAGUUUAUCCCUUUUCCCUAACUCCAGAUUUGCAGGAUCAGAAUUAGCUCGAGAGGUGGGCCGAGGUGUUGGUAUAGUCCAUUGUAAUAACAUAGUUGUGGACAUGUAUUAAUUUGUGAAUUUGAAUUGUGUUUUGCGUGAGUUUUCUUUAUAAUCCUUAUUUUAUGAUUUUUUUAUGUAAAAGAUUUUAAGUCUAAAUUAUGUUUGAACUAAGCUUGAGGUGUGUAAUAUUGACUAUACUAAAACAUUUGAUGAGAGCUCUAGUAUGAAUUUAUGUUUCCAGUUCUGAUACAUGCGCAGGUCAAGUUUUUGUUAUUGAAAUAGAAGUGUUUUUACAUGUUUGUGUGAUUAUGUAUGGAUCUAUAUCAAAUGUAACAGGAUGUAUAGUAAAUUUGCUAUGAGUUCCGGCAACCUUAGAUUGAUCUGAACCGUAGUGCCGAUAGCGGUCUGAGUUGCAGAUGUGGCUCCGAAUUGAAUUAUUUAACAAAGUAUGGGGUAUCAAAGGAAAAAAGUGAAAACUUUGGGUAUUGACUUCAUUCCUUUGGAGGUUAGUCUGAAGGACACUAUUGAAAGCUUGAAGGAUAAGGGCUUCCUCAGCAUUUAAUAUUGGCUGUUGGAUAAAAAGCAAUGCAAAUAUUACAUUGGCUUUUCAGGUUCAUUGGCUUUAGCUUCCUAUUGGUGCAAGAUAUUAUUACCCUUCAGGAUUGUCUUUAUUUGAAAAAAGUGGACCAAUACAAUUUGUAAAAUACAUAACAAUUUGUAUACAACUGUAUAUAAACAUAUUACAUGUGUCACUUGUUUCACUGGUGGAUGAAGUUCAUUUCAGGUCUGAUUUCUGAGGAAGUUACUCUUUUUUUUAUCUGAUUUCAGGUCUCAUUCCAAAGAAUAAGACACAAGAAAAAGAAAAUGUGUAAUCCACCAAUUCAGAUUUAGUUCAGUCUUUUCAAAGUAUAUUCAGAUUUCAUAGCCAACUCAUUUUAUGCUGUAUCUGAUUUCUGGUUCUUGUGAUAUGCUCUUACAAAAUUCAUCUAAAAUUCAGUGCUCUUACACAUUCUGGAAACAACAAUUUAUACAAAAACUGAUUUCUCAGGGAAAAAAAGGAAAAUAAUGUUAUUUGCAUUGAAUGAACAAAUGAUUAGCAUAGUAGCAAAACUACUUAAAAUAAGAGAAAUUAGAAACAAAAAAGCAGCACAGCAUGAGUCUGGGCAUUGCAUGUUGGAUGAUCGAAACAGAGGUGUUGAGUGAGAAUCUAGAUCCUGAAAUACGCGGGCCUGCAAAAAGUCAUUCGAAGAAGUGUGCAAAACUCCCAUCAUUCAGCUUUCAUUUCUGCUUCCGGCUUAGCAGGAUUACUAUGUACUGAGUUGUUUUCUGAACUGUGACAGAUAGGAAACUUAUCCCGGUGAGAUUUUAUUCCGGAAUGUCAAGGGCACAAUGCGUAGCUUAGUGAAUCUCCAUCAUCUUUGCCGCAGGUGUAAGUUAUGAAGAUAAUUGCUAGAUGGAGGAUUUUCACACUAGUAAUUUAGCAUCUGUUUCAAGCCAGAAUCAUCAUUAAAUCACAGAUUUGCUUUACAAGCAAUAACUAGGGGGAUUUCAUAUUACAAGUAGUCUUUAUAACUUACUGAAUCGCUUAUUUUUGAAGACAGAGGAUGAGGAGAGCUCACGUUUUGUUUUUACUGCACAAAUACUGCAUAUGGAAUCUGAGUGAGGAGUUACUCUCUAAAAAUUUCAAAAGUGUUUUUGAGAGGUACCUUUGCGUGAAUCUUCUGGCAACAGACUCAAAGUAGUCAUCCAAUAAGUAGAAAUUCUUCUAUGGAAGGCCACACACAUUAAUAGCAGUUCUUUCAAGGCGAAUUAUGCCAAGCCAAUCAAGGAAUUGCUGCCAUGGCAUGUAGUUGUGGUUUCUUAAUGUGUUCGAGUAACUUCUGCACAAGGAAUCAAAUUAAUCUUUAAAUCCGUGAAAUUAAAAGGGAUGCAGAAUUACAAAACUAAUAAUAAUAACAAUAAUAAUAAGAUGGAUAGAAGCAUGACCUGCCAAUGCAUGAUUUCGGCAAGCCUUUGCAUUGGUUCACCACUUCCCAAUGUAGUAAGAAUUUCAACAGCAUCCCAGAAUUUCAAUAGCAUCCCAAUGAUAACUCAUACUUGAUGAGCCUUGAUGGAGAAAUGAAAGUCCAGUUAAAAUUAUUCAAAAUGCAUAUCCACUCGCCAAGAACAUAUGCACCCAGAAAUCUCCUUAAAUAAAUAAGGUUUUAACAAGGUGAAUGCUUUGCUUUUUCUUUUUUUGGGAAGAACUUCAAAGUUAACAAAGGUAAGACUAUUGAGUUUUGAUGUUUACCUUGUGUGGGAGAAAUAUGAUGUUUACCCAGAAAUCACAUUUUGUUUUCAGAAUAAAUGGUUUUUUCCACCUCUGCAUUUGACAUUGAAAAAACUUAAAUAAAUACCAAACAAUUAAGAUAUGCUGCUGAUUUAAUUUACAAAGGAAUGGUGCAUGUGAAGAGAAAUUGACAUAUGACAAUCACCUUCAGCACAAUCAAUUCUCAUCCUAAUUUAGAAGACUAAUCAAACUAAUUGCAACAAUAACAUCUUCUCCACGACGUCUACUACCUUCCGCACAUAGAGUCAAAAUUAAUCCGUUAUAUCCAUGAAAAGAAUGAAGGCAGAAUUACAUUAAAAAAUGAAUAAAAAUGAUGGCUAAAAGAAAGACCUGCCAAUGCAUUUAAGAUCUCUUUGAAUUUGUUUCCCACAUCCCAAUUUAUUAGAAUUUCAGGUGACUAAAAAACAAAUAAAUGAUUCCUCUAGCUUGAUGAGCCUGCAUAUGUGGGAAAAAAGUGUUAAAAUAUUAUCAUAAAGCAAAUAAAUUCUCAAUUAUAAAAAAAAAAAUAAAAGAAAAAAAAAGGUACUCUGUAUAUUGAUAUUGAUUGUAAAGAAAUAAUGACAAAAGGAUACUUACGACUCAAAGGUAAUACACUGCUCAUUUUGGAAGAAACACAUCCAACACUUCAAAACUUAUCCUUCAUUGAUCUGUGUAAAUAGAAUCAUAGAGUGAAGAUUUUCUCAUGUAAGUUUAAUUUGCAAAUUGGAGAGAAAAAGGACCAACUUACCGAAGCUUCAUCAUCCAGUAGAUAGCGGCCCUCUCUUUGAAUUCUUUGGUCAUCAACUUCAAUAUUUGGGAUGUGAGAAAUGAAAGCCCAAUCCGCACCCUCUCUAUUUCCACAUCUUUCCUUCAAUUGGGGACAGUCAUUGAUAUUCAAUUCUCGUAACGAGGUGAGGGAACGCAUCUCUUGAGGCAGACACUUUAUUGCCGGACAAAUGUCAAUGGUUAGUCUUUGAAGACAAGCGAGAUUCCGCAGUCCAUCUGGAGGUAGAGAUUCGAGCUCUUAAAUAUUUUAACAUUUUUAUAGAAUUAUCCAUCGUUCUUCUAUAUGAAUAUAUAGUAAAUACACGCAAAAAUUUUAAAUUUUUAUAAAUAAAUAGCUGAUUGACAUCAUGUUUCUUAAACAAAAGAAUCGAUCGUACUCUUUUAGCAUUGUUAAGAAUUUCUUGUGGUGCAACAUCUAAAUUCAAUGCUACAUGAUGGGUUUUCUCAUCAAUAUUUGGUGUAUUAAAAUUUACUAGCUGAAUCCUCUUCUCAUCCACUCUAGUUGCGAGAUUGUGCAUUAAAUCAUGCAUUUUACAGCUUUCGACAUUUCCACAUCUAUCUCUUUUCACCUCUUGAAAAAAUGACCUCCACCACAGUUUCAUAAAAUAUUCAAGCCCAAUAUCUUCAAGACAAUCACUGGUACCUGGUGACUCAAUAAACCCUUGUGCAACCCAAAAAUGGAUUAAUGUUUUCACAUCAAUCACAUAAUCUUUUGGAUAUAUUGCGCAAUAUGCAAAACAAUGCUUCAAAUGUGAUGGGAGAUGAUCAUAGCUUAGUUUCAGUGUUGGCAUAAUAUCAUUACCAUCUUGACUUAUUCUUGAGAGUUCUUUUCUCAAAAAGGGCAGCCACUCAGUUUCUGGAUUUUUCGCAUACAAGAGACUUGCGAUAGUUUUUAUUGCAAGAGGAACUCCAUGACAUUUCUUCAGAAUCUCCUUUCCCUUCUCUCUUACAUUUGCAUGUUUUGGCUCCUGCCCCUCAAGUGCUACAUGCAAAAACAAAGACCAAGACUCCACCACAGAUAAGCCUUCCAAAACAUGUGGUGCUAUUGUGCCAGAUAUAUCUGCCACCUUUUUAGAGCGAGUGGUUAUUAAUAUCUUACUUCCACUAGAGCCACCCACUAAUAAUCUCUUUAAAUUCUGCCAUGUUUUUCUAUUCUCAUUCCACACAUCAUCUAGAACAAGCAGAUAUUUCUUCCCACAAAUAAUUUUUUCCAGUCUAGACUUCAAUGCUUCUAACUCAAGAUCUUCCGAUUUAUUCCCUGUUGCAGACUCUAGAAUCUUUCCAACAGUCAUUUUCACAUCAAAAGGUUCUGAAACACACACCCAUAUUCUUGGCUCAAAUGAAUUCUUAAUCAAUUCAUCAUUCAAUAUGAUUUGAGCAAGAGUGGUCUUCCCUAAUCCUCCAAUUCCAACAAUUGAGAGGACUGAAACACACUCUUCACCAUUGGAAGACAAUACAAGUUCUGUAAUUGCCUUUUUGUCACCCUCUCUCCCAAUAAUCACUUCAGGUAAAGAGGACGUAGUUUGAUCCCUCCAUACAAUACUCUCCUGAUCAGUACGAACCUCUAAAUUAAAUUUUCUGUCAGCUUCAAUAUCAGCUAGCCUCUCCCUAAUCGCCUUAACUUUAUGACCCAUUUUAAAACCAUAAACAAGUUGAUUUGAAGAUGAAAAGAAGAGACUUACCUCCUUUGUCAUUCUAUUUCCAGUCAUCACUCGGCGCCUUAGAGCUUCUGUGGCGAAGUCAUCUACCAAGUCAUCAGCAUCAUAAACAACUUCUUCUAGCCUCUCAAGCCAGCCUUUCACUUGACGGUUAAGUUUCUGCUGCUCCUCGGCAUCCAGAAGAACAUUGCGAAUACUAGAAACUGUGGCCUCAAGUUUCUUAAGCUCACCUUUGACGCCCCACCACAAUCCGAUCUCAUGAAGGGCUCGAGAACCCAGCUUGGUAAUGAUAUCUCC